CCUACGGGUGGCUGCAGUGGGGAAUAUUGGACAAUGGGCGAAAGCCUGAUCCAGCCAUGCCGCGUGUGUGAAGAAGGCCUUCGGGUUGUAAAGCACUUUCAGUGGGGAAGAAAGCCUUGGGGCUAAUACCCUCGAGGAAGGACAUCACCCACAGAAGAAGCACCGGCUAACUCCGUGCCAGCAGCCGCGGUAAUACGGAGGGUGCGAGCGUUAAUCGGAAUUACUGGGCGUAAAGCUCGCGUAGGCGGUCUGAUAAGCCGGUUGUGAAAGCCCCGGGCUCAACCUGGGAACGGCAUCCGGAACUGUCAGGCUAGAGUGCAGGAGAGGAAGGUAGAAUUCCCGGUGUAGCGGUGAAAUGCGUAGAGAUCGGGAGGAAUACCAGUGGCGAAGGCGGCCUUCUGGACUGACACUGACGCUGAGGUGCGAAAGCGUGGGUAGCAAACAGGAUUAGAUACCCCUGUAGUC
rnacentral:rRNA from 1 species